rnacentral:lncRNA from 1 species
UUAUGACAUCACAUACUACAUGUGUCUUUCUGACUGUAAAGCUUCUUUCUCUCUCUCCAUGCUCCUCUUUAUUCAGACUGCAGCUCUCACCACUCUUGAUAUCACAUGAGAGCAUCCAGCAGUACUUGGGUGCUUGGGAACAGAAGAAGAGUAGGAAAAAUGCACUUGUCCCUGCACAUUCAGUGAUAAUUUGAGUAUUAGGUGGUGAUAAAGGCUACAGUCUUCUUCAGGAGUACUAGGAAUGUAAAGUAGAGAAGACUUCCCCAAAAUGGAAAAUAAAAUGUCAACAUCAAGAAAAGAGUUGUGAUCACAUGACGCAUCUCCAUUUCUGUUUUCCUUCCAGUAGUUUGACUUCUUUUCCUUAUGAAAGAACCACAAUCUGGUUACAAAAACUACAAAUGAUGCUGUAUAUCCUGCCUUUUUACAGAUACCUCAAAAAAGAUAAGCAUUUUUCAAAUUUUCAUCUGUGGAAAGGAUCUUCGUUUCAUCUUGCAGCUCAAAUAAUUGGUGUCAAAUGUUGCAGAAGAAAGCAGACAGCGCUUUUGUGCCCUGUGUAUUCAGGUGGGAUACAGUUCAUUCAGAGCCCAGGUCAUUCCUAG